GACCUAUUGCAUACAGUAUAAGAAAAACCGACCAAAACACAAAAACUUAACUGUAACCACUGAACCAUGAAAAUGAGGUCAAGGUCAGAUGACACCUGCCAGUUGGACAUGUACACCUGACAGUCCUUCCAUACACCGAAUAUACUAGACCUAUUGCUUAUAGUAUCUGAGAUAUGGACUUGACCACCAAAACUUAACCUUGUUCACUGAUCCAUGAAAUGAGGUCGAGGUCAAGUGAAAACUGUCUGACGGGCAUGAGGACCUUGCAAGGUACGCACAUACCAAAUAUAGUUAUCCAAUUACUUAUAAUAAGAGAGAAUUUAACAUUACAAAAAAUCUUAACUUUUUUU
rnacentral:lncRNA from 1 species